rnacentral:rRNA from 2 species
UGGGGAAUAUUGCACAAUGGGCGGAAGCCUGAUGCAGCGACGCCGCGUGGGGGAUGAAGGCCUUCGGGUUGUAAACUCCUUUCGACAGGGACGAAGCUUUUGUGACGGUACCUGUAUAAGAAGCACCGGCUAACUACGUGCCAGCAGCCGCGGUAAUACGUAGGGUGCGAGCGUUGUCCGGAAUUACUGGGCGUAAAGAGCUCGUAGGUGGUUUGUCGCGUCGUCUGUGAAAUUCCGGGGCUUAACUCCGGGCGUGCAGGCGAUACGGGCUGACUUGAGUGCUGUAGGGGGGACUGGAAUUCCUGGUGUAGCGGUGAAAUGCGCAGAUAUCAGGAGGAACACCGAUGGCGAAGGCAGGUCUCUGGGCAGUAACUGACGCUGAGGAGCGAAAGCAUGGGUAGCGAACAGG